rnacentral:pre_miRNA from 1 species
UACGUACUCCCUCGGUCUCAAAAUUCUUGUCUUAGAUUUGUCUAAAUACGGAUGUAUCAAAUCAUGUUUUAUUAUUAGAUACAUCCGUAUCUAGACAAAUGUAAGAUAAGAAUUUUGGGAUGGAGGGAGUACCUC